rnacentral:rRNA from 1 species
CAUGGCUCAGGAUGAACGCUAGCUACAGGCCUAACACAUGCAAGUCGAGGGGAAACGGGAAAGCAGCUUGCUGCUUUCUGUCGUCGACCGGCGCACGGGUGAGUAACGCGUAUCCAACCUUCCCAUAACUAAGGGAUACCCCGUAGAAAUGCGGCCUAAUACCUUAUGUACUCCCAUGACGGCAUCAGAGUGGGAGCAAAGAAUUUCGGUUAUGGAUGGGGAUGCGUCUGAUUAGCUUGCUGGCGGGGUAACGGCCCACCAGGGCAUCGAUCAGUAGGGGUUCUGAGAGGAAGGUCCCCCACAUUGGAACUGAGACACGGUCCAAACUCCUACGG